rnacentral:rRNA from 1 species
AGAGUUUGAUCCUGGCUCAGAAUGAACGUUGGCGGCGUGGAUUAGGCAUGCAAGUCGUACGGGCCGCAAGGCCAGUGGCGCAAGGGUGAGUAAGGCGACGGUAACCAACCCCAGGACUGGGUAUAGCCGCGGGAAACUGCGGGUAAUCCCCAGCGAUGUCGCGGCGGGGCAUCCCUCUGCGACCAAAGCUCCGGCGUCCUGGGACGGGCCGUCGUGGUAUUAGGUUGUUGGCGGGGUAACGGCCCACCAAGCCUGCGAUGCCUACCGGGCGUGCGAGCGUGGCCCGGCACACUGGGACUGAGACACUGCCCAGACUCCUACGGGAGGCUGCAGUCGAGAAUCUUCGGCAAUGGGCGCAAGCCUGACCGAGCGACGCCGCGUGGAGGACGAAGGCCUUCGGGUUGUAAACUCCUGUCGAGGGGGAAGAAGGGUCGAAAGACCUUGACUUAUCCCUGGAGGAAGCACGGGCUAAGUUCGUGCCAGCAGCCGCGGUAAGACGAACCGUGCGAACGUUAUUCGGAAUCACUGGGCUUAAAGCGCGUGUAGGCGGGACGGCACGUCGGUCGUUGAAAUCCCCCGGCUCAACCGGGGAACGGGCGCCGAUACGACCGUCCUGGAGGGACGUAGGGGGACCUGGAACUUCCGGUGGAGCGGUGAAAUGCGUUGAGAUCGGAAGGAACGCCCGUGGCGAAAGCGAGGUCCUGGACGUUUUCUGACGCUGAGACGCGAAAGCCAGGGGAGCGAACGGGAUUAGAUACCCCAGUAGUCC